UGGGGAAUUUUGGACAAUGGGCGAAAGCCUGAUCCAGCAAUGCCGCGUGUGUGAAGAAGGCCUUCGGGUUGUAAAGCACUUUUGUCCGGAAAGAAAUCCUUGGCUCUAAUACAGUCGGGGGAUGACGGUACCGGAAGAAUAAGCACCGGCUAACUACGUGCCAGCAGCCGCGGUAAUACGUAGGGUGCAAGCGUUAAUCGGAAUUACUGGGCGUAAAGCGUGCGCAGGCGGUUUGCUAAGACCGAUGUGAAAUCCCCGGGCUCAACCUGGGAACUGCAUUGGUGACUGGCGGGCUAGAGUAUGGCAGAGGGGGGUAGAAUUCCACGUGUAGCAGUGAAAUGCGUAGAGAUGUGGAGGAAUACCGAUGGCGAAGGCAGCCCCCUGGGCCAAUACUGACGCUCAUGCACGAAAGCGUGGGGAGCAAACAGGAUUAGAUACCCUGGUAGUCCACGCCCUAAACGAUGUCAACUAGCUGUUGGGGCCUUCGGGCCUUGGUAGCGCAGCUAACGCGUGAAGUU
rnacentral:rRNA from 1 species